CGCUGGCGGUAGGCUUAACACAUGCAAGUCGUGCGAGAAAGUAUCUUCGGAUAUGAGUAGAGCGGCGGACGGGUGAGUAACGCGUAGGAAUCUACCUAGUAGAAGGGGAUAGCCCGAGGAAACUCGGAUUAAUACCGUAUACCUCCUUAGGGAGAAAGAGGGCCUCUCUUGAUGCUCUCGCUAUUAGAUGAGCCUGCGUAAGAUUAGCUUGUUGGUGAGGUAAUGGCUCACCAAGGCUACGAUCUUUAGCUGGUCUGAGAGGACGAUCAGCCACAUUGGGACUGAGACACGGCCCAGACUCCUACGGGAGGCAGCAGUGGGGAAUAUUGGACAAUGGGCGCAAGCCUGAUCCAGCCAUACCGCGUGUGUGAAGAAGGCCUUCGGGUUGUAAAGCACUUUAAGCAGGGAGAAAAAGCUAUAAGUUAAUACCUUAUAGCCCUGAUGUUACCUGCAGAAUAAGCACCGGCUAAUUCCGUGCCAGCAGCCGCGGUAAUACGGAAGGUGCAAGCGUUAAUCGGAAUUACUGGGCGUAAAGCGCGCGUAGGUGGUUUGUUAAGUUGGAUGUGAAAGCCCUGGGCUCAACCUAGGAACUGCAUCCAAAACUAACUCACUAGAGUACGAUAGAGGGAGGUAGAAUUCAUAGUGUAGCGGUGGAAUGCGUAGAUAUUAUGAAGAAUACCAGUGGCGAAGGCGGCCUCCUGGAUCUGUACUGACACUGAGGUGCGAAAGCGUGGGUAGCGAACAGGAUUAGAUACCCUGGUAGUCCACGCCGUAAACGAUGACAACUAGCUGUUGGGAAACAAAGUUUCUCAGUGGCGCAGCUAACGUUUUAAGUUGUCCGCCUGGGGAGUACG
rnacentral:rRNA from 1 species